UCGCUACUACCGAUUGAACGGUUUAGUGAGUAGCAGGGACUGUGAUGCUCGAAAGGUUUACCUUUCUUGCGUUAUGGGAACUGUCGCAAACUUGACCGUUUAGAGGAAGUAA
rnacentral:rRNA from 1 species